GAAAAAGAAUCUGAUGACGCCUU
rnacentral:piRNA from 1 species